rnacentral:rRNA from 1 species
AUGGCAGAUCCAGGUGCUGACCCAGUUGCUCUGCCGAUCGUGCCUUGUCCGGACUGCGGCAGGAACGUGGUCACCUACAUAGCGCGGCGCGGGCAGAACGCCGGCCAGCGAUUCUACAAGUGCCGGAAUCACAACCCAUCAGGGGUGGAUGCGAUUUCUACAGAUGGGAGGAAGCCUACGCGGCGCAUGUUGCGACUUUUGGAGGAGCAGCACAUCCAGUGUGGCAAAUCGGGGCAGGUCAGAUGCAGGGCGGGCAGGCGGCUGGAGCUCAAGUUGUGCAGGCGCCGCAGGUUCAUCCGGUUCAGCAAAACGGAGCGCCGGAGGCGUCGCAGGCUGCAUCCUUUGCAAGUACAGUCGCAGGAUACAUGCUGGCAGCGGCUCCAGUUGCGGGUCGUCAGGGUGCCAAAGUCGACGAUGCUGCAUCCAUAA